GGUGCGGUUGUUCCACAAGAGUAAGGUUUAACUUCACUAAGUAAGCCAGGGUGCUGUGACUGGACUUGGGUGGUGAUUCAGAAGCUCCAAUUUACUUGUGCUUAAUGGAGAUCGAGGCUAAUUUCUUAUCCAACUGAUGUUGGCACUUGAGAGAUAAUGGGUCCAAAAGAUGAUGACGCCAACUGGUGCCGCACACAACAGUAAAGCAGAAUGGACCGUCUCAAACGGAUGCUGUCAAUAGAAAUAAGUCAAGGAUAAAUCUUGACCAAAUUUAACAUAGACAACGGUUUACCGGAUUCAAGAUAAUACAUGUUCUAUUAGAGCUAUGAUCCCUUGUCGAUAUUCUAUAUUAGCAAAUAAUUGACUGUCUCUUGCAUAUUACCCAUAAACAUUAGGUCAGACAUUUUGUUAAUUGUUAGUUUUCCUAUUCAGUCUAAUUCUUGUUAUUGCACAAGUGCUCACUGUUGCCUGGUUAUGUAACUGAUUUGUAACCAUAAAAUUUGUUAAAAGUUAUGAAAGGAAUUAAGCUUAAUUAAUAGCUUGUUGCAUCGGAUGAAGCUGCAUCAACUAUCAGCUAAAUAAAACUGUGAGCCAAGUUUCUUUACUUGCCUUUUAGAGAAUGUGACUGAACAUGGUAAUAAUGAAGGGAUGAACUCUAUCAUUUAAAAUUAUUGUACCAUUGAGUAUAAUG